rnacentral:lncRNA from 1 species
GCUGCAACAACUGCCAGCCGUGAAGAGACAUGAAUUACUGGUUGGGGAGGGUACGGGGCCAGUCUUCUCACAUCAAGUCUGCACAGGAUGAAGGAGGCAGCCAAGCACAGGUCAGGUAGUAUUCUCACAAAAAGUGGCUGCAGAUGCUCUUUGUGAGAUGGUGACAUUCCCAUCCCAACCCAGGCUGCUCUGCCUGGCACUUGCUCUGUUUCCUGGGUGCCACGGCCCUUCCGAGCUCUGCUUACCCGCGCUUCCAGCCAGGAUGCCAGUGCCAUAUUCUGAUUACUGUGAGGAAGCCAGUCACU